rnacentral:rRNA from 8 species
UUAAAUUGAAGAGUUUGAUCAUGGCUCAGAUUGAACGCUGGCGGCAGGCCUAACACAUGCAAGUCGAACGGUAACAGGAAGCAGCUUGCUGCUUCGCUGACGAGUGGCGGACGGGUGAGUAAU